AGUGAACGCUGGCGGUAGGCCUAACACAUGCAAGUCGAACGAAGUCUUCGGACUUAGUGGCGGACGGGUGAGUAACACGUGGGAACGUGCCUUUAGGUUCGGAAUAACUCAGGGAAACUUGUGCUAAUACCGAAUGUGCCCUUCGGGGGAAAGAUUUAUCGCCUUUAGAGCGGCCCGCGUCUGAUUAGCUAGUUGGUGAGGUAAAGGCUCACCAAGGCUACGAUCAGUAGCUGGUCUGAGAGGAUGACCAGCCACAUUGGGACUGAGACACGGCCCAAACUCCUACGGGAGGCAGCAGUGGGGAAUCUUGCGCAAUGGGCGAAAGCCUGACGCAGCCAUGCCGCGUGGAUGAUGAAGGUCUUAGGAUUGUAAAAUUCUUUCACCGGGGACGAUAAUGACGGUACCCGGAGAAGAAGCCCCGGCUAACUUCGUGCCAGCAGCCGCAGUAACAC
rnacentral:rRNA from 1 species